GCUAGACUAAACACAUCGCAAGUCGAACGAUGAUCCCAGCUUGCUGGGGGAUUAGUGGCGAACGGGUGAGUAACACGUGAGUAACCUGCCCUUAACUCUGGGAURMGCCUGGGAAACUGGGUCUAAUACCGGAUAUGACUCCUCAUCGCAUGGUGGGGGGUGGAAAGCUUUAUGUGGUUGACGGAUGGACUCGCGGCCUAUCACGCUUGUGAGGUGAGGUAAUGGCUUACCAAGGCAGAACAGCACGGGUACCCGGCCUGAGAGGGUGACCGGCCACACUGGGACUGAGACACGAGCCCAAACUCCUACGGGAGGCAGCAGUGGGGAAUAUUCGCACAAUGGGCGCAAGCCUGAUGCAGCGACGCCGCGUGAGGGAUGACGGCCUAGCGGGUUGUAAACCUCUUUCAGUAGGGAAGAAGCGAAAGUGACGGUACCUGCAGAAGAGGCGCCGGCUAACUACGUGCCCAGCAGCCGCGGUAAUACGUAGGGCGCAAGCGUAAUCCCGGAAUGAUGGGGGCGUAAAGAGCUCGUAGGGCGGUUUGGUCCCGGUCUGCCGUGAAAGUCCGGGGGCUCAAACUCCGGAUCCUGCGGUGGGUACCGGCAAACUAAAGUGAUGUAGGGGAGACUGAAUCACUGGGUGUAACGGUGAAAUGCCCAAAUAUUGGGA
rnacentral:rRNA from 1 species